UGCUCAGAGAGGUAAAGACAUUAGUUGGAGACCACACAGCCUGUAAGUGGGCUACCUGGCUCCACCUCCAUUUUCUCUGUAAUCUAAAUGCAUCUGACUUUUUGUUUUGGGGGCCACACCUGGUGGUGCUCAAGAUUUACCCCUGGCUCUGUAUUCAGGGACUGCUUUUGGAAGGGGUUCAAGGAUCUUAUGGGGUGUCAGCUAUUGAGCUCUGGUCGGCUGUGUGCAAGGCAGGUACCCUACCCACUUGCUCUCUCUUUGGCCCCAUUAGCCUGUUGUUUCUGUCCAGUGGUUUUGUAGUCACCUUCACACUAGAUUCCGGCUCUUAAGAGCCUAGUGCUGAGUGAGUUGCAUAUCUCCAUGGGCUCAGUGCACCAUCACACUAAGUCCCUAUACUCAGAGAGGUGAAGUGACUUGCCCAAGGUCAUAGAGCACAUAAGCAGAGUCCAGCUCGAGUUGGUCACUAAUAAGAACUGCUCUUUGAAAGGAAACUGGCUUUCAGUUCUAGAGUUGGCCCCAAUUCCUAUAUGUUCUUCUGUAAA